AAUUUUUCAAGUAAAAUUUUUUAAGACACUGUAUCAAAUUCUUUAAUAAGGUCCAGAUACAUCAGCUGCAUUUCUGGUUCAAACUGCUUUACCCCUGUCUUUUGUGUUCUGAGUCUUCUUAUCUGAUGUGUAUCUGCCUUGAGGUCAACUGAAACUCCGCCUACUAAGUAUACGAAAGUCAGCAUUGGGAAAGCUUCCUGUAAUUCUGGCAUGAAAACUACACGGAAUAGAUGGCAAAGUUGAGCAUAACUGAAAAAUAAUAAUAAAAAAUAAAAAUGCUAAAUGUGAAAUCAGGAUGAAAUUUACAUUGUUUGAGGAAACUAAGAAUGAGAAAAACUGGUGUGUAGUCACAGAAACUUCUUUGCUCAUAAUUACCCUGUGAACACAAUGCUGUAUAACUAGAUCCUGCACAAGCAAGGUUAUCUUGUGCCGUGCGGUCCCUAGAGAACAUUAUUAAUAGAACAUGUAAGCUGUGUGGUCCCAUGCCUGGUGAGAUGCUGCUUUUUUCUAUGGAAGGGUGCAACUCCUAUUUACCUCUUCAUGUGUCUAGUGGCACUUGCGGGUUCUGUCCUUACCCCUUUGCUAGCACAGGAACUCGUGAUGACACAGCAAGUCAGUUCAUGGAGACGAUCCAACUGAACACUUGUUUACUUUUUUAUUAGUUUUUCUGCUGGAACAGCUCAGCAAAGCAGGUCGCUGCCUGGGUGCAUGAGGUCUGCAGCCAGUGCAAGGAAAAAUGCUGGUGGCUGUGUGGUCAGGAGAGGAAAUGAGGCUGGGAUCACAGUGGCAGUGGUUUAUGUACACUUAUCUUACUAUGGAACAAAGCCAUUAAUGAUUUCAGCCUUUAUGUCUUAGCCCAGUGUCGUGUCGUGUGUAUAAUGGGAUAUUAUAGUCCAGAGCAAGGCUUGAAAGCCUGCUGUGACAACCUGAAGAAUAAGCUGUGUUCUUGUGUGCCCUAGCAGCCUUGUCUGGAUAGGAUAGUGUUCAGCUGUAGCUCUCCGGGGGUUUGCAUAUUCACCGGGCAGGGCAUUUGUCUGUGCAACACACGCUCCUACUGCCUGUGUGGUGGUGCUACCCUAGCUCCUUGGUCACUUGCACCAGUGGAGCGCCUGGCCUGGAGUUGAAGGUGGCUUCUUGGCUGGAUUCCUCUGGCAGCUGAAUCCAUGAUUCUUCACAAGCAGAGGAGUUGGACCAUGAGUACUGGAAGACAUCUUCCUGUUGAAUUUAAAGGCUUCCUAGGCAGGGAUUGAAGAGAGGAGAAAUGUUUUCAGAUUUUGGAAGAGUUACUGUAUUUCUGAAGAUCCAGACAUAUUCUCUCUUUUAGUUGCUUUAAUUGCAAUGAGCAUUUGUUCUUUGGGUUGUCAGCUUCUUGGGACUGUUCUUUAGUGGGAAAGAUGUAUUAGUUAUUGAAGGAAAAAAAAAACCUGAAAUGCAACUGAGCAGAUUCUGAGGGCUGACUUUUGGCUGAACCGCUAUCAGAGCUUUGGAUGUUAUUCAGCAACAGUUGCGUUAUGAAUUUUGAGCAAAAGUGGCAAACAACCCUUAUGGAAUACACAUUUUUCCACUUAAAAUAAUCAUCCUGUGGCUGGUAAGAACUGAUUUUUAGCAUUUUAAAUAUUGGGCCUGAUUUACCCAGUGCAGUGUGCCAGUUUUAUGCUGGUGUAAGACUUCGUCUAAGAAGAGCUGUAACAGUGUAAAAUGAACUCACGGAUGAGCCAAGCCCAAAAUCUCAUAGAAGAAUCCUUCCAUUUUCCACAAGGGACAUGCUGGCAUACAUCCCUGCAGCAAUAAUUUCUUGUUUAGCUGGUUUAAUUCUUCAGAAUUUCUGUGUUGCUGUACAAUAGGUAUGUUUAAUGAAAUUUGACAUCUUGCUUUUUAUUUACAGGUGGGACUCUCUGAUGGAUGUGCAGGACAGGAAUGGAUCGGAUGUCAGCCCAUUCAUGGAAGGAAAAUGUUCAGGGAAAAGCAAGAAGGACCAGGGACUGGGAAGAGCUUCCUUAUGAAGGAAACCCAGCAGACCAGGACUCCACAACCUAUGGAGGAGGUGGUUUAGAGGGGAUACAAUAGCGGUCUAAUUGACUCUGCCUAACAAGCCAAGCGACUCAGACACAGCAAACGGAUCUCCAGCAUUACAAGGGGAUGGAGACUGCCAAAAGGGAUGCUGCCAACUUCUAAACUCGCCCCGCCAAGGGUGACUGUAACUCUAGAAGGAAAGGGAUAUCUGAUUUGUUACUUGGCAUACUCCUGCUGUAUAGUCUGUUCUGCUGGCCCACUCAUUUUCAUAAUAUUGGAAAGGAAGAUGAGAAGCUUGCUUCUAAUGGGUUGAUUAGAUAUUAAAUAUUUUGGAACAAAACCAACUAAUAACUGGGAUGUCUUUCUGAUGGGGGGGGGGUGAGAACUCAGGAUGUUACAUUUGGAGAGAAAACUCUCCAAUUAGCUAAAAAUGCAGUUCUAGCUGGGUCAAGAAAGAGAUUCCUUCAUCCUAAUUUGAAAUCUAAAUUACUUUAAUUGAAGAGUAUAUAGUUCCUGAGUCUUAUGAGUAAGAAUAAUUGAAAAUGGAUUAAAUUGCCAUUUUUUUGUUCACAGUUGUUUGCCCCACAAAAAUGUGGACUAAAUUUGUACUCCCACUAGUGAAUGCCAAUUUGGAAGAAUUCCACUGGAUUCAUUGCGGUUGCCCUAGUUGCACCUUCCUUAGCAAGUAUAGAAUCAGGCCCUGUGUGCAUAAUUUUUCCACUUUUAGACCUGAGGGACUGUAAUCGGGAACCAGGCUGAGGUCCCAUUCCAGAUCAAGUCUUUCAUAUGCAGAUUAUAAAAUCAGUGAAAAACAAGCUUGGUUUGGCAGUUACUUUAAAAGAGACCUUUGGAUGAUUCUAUCAACAGCAGAAGAGGCAAUUCAUUCUUCAUGCUAGAAAUCAUCAUAUAUCUCAUUUUGGGAGAUGUGAUCAAUACUGGCUGGUUUUUGUGUAGAGAGAAAAAUACCAUAUUUGGGAGAAAUUUUCUUAGGGCCACUUCAGGUCUCUGGAAACACUUCUGCCCCCAAAAACCUCAUCCCGUAAUCUCAGAGAAAUAUUUUUACCCAAUGUAUUUAGAUCAAUAUUUUUGAUUUAUUUAUUUCUAUAGUCUUGUCUCUUUGACUGUCUGAGACUUCAAAUAAGAUUUCAGAAGCUCAUCAAAAGUUUCUAUAUUCUGCUAGAAGCAUGGACAUUGAGUUAUAGUUGUGGUUUGGAUUUGUAGAUGCUAAUGCAAGAAAGCACCCAAGGAAUGCAAUUUCUUUCAACUCUUGCACUACUAGAGACCUCAUAACCACUAAGGAAGGGAGUUAAAAUAUGAUUUUCUCUUCAGCCAUUGCCAGGAAAGCUGCCAACCAGAUAGAUGAUCCAUGGUGGAUGGUCAACAAUCAUAGUUAAAAUAUCUGUAGGUGCUGCCAUUGUCUUUCGAAAGAAUGCAUAUUCCCCAAGUGAGCACAAAUAACAGAGAUAACAAGGUGGGCAUGGAUGUCUUUUCUAAAACAAUUGAUGGAUGUCUCAAGUCUUGUUGAAUUGCACAGUGUCCAUGCAAGGGCCACAGGUCAGGCUGUGGCACUGUAAAUGCUGCCAUAACAUCCACCUUCCCAGUCAGGGGGUGCAGCAGCUCCUGUCAGGUGUAAUCGGUCGCCUCUCGGAUGACAUCUGAUACUCAACAAUUUGAUGCAGAGAAAAUAUUUUUACUAAAAUAGUUAAGGAUUAUUAAAAUAGCCGUACAGACAGUUGAUAAGAGUUUGCAUUAAAGGGAGAUGACAAAGUAUGGCCAUGUUUCUCUCCUGCAAAAAAUACUGGAAAUGCCUGCCAUUUCAACAGCAAAAUGUUUGCUCUGAGAGUGAGGCAUAGUAAAGAAUCACUCCUACUAUGAGUUAUUAGAGGUGAAGGAUCAAUUAUGACUCCAUUCUGAAGAGGGAUGAGGGAGCUGCCCAGGCAAGCCACCUCCUCAGUCUGCCUGUGUCUGAAUUCAGUGAUGUCUCCACAAAGAGGCCUGUAAGUGCAGGGUAGCCCUGUAUUUCUGUCUUCCUUAUGGAUCCCUUUUCCUUCCUUCCUUACCCACGUCUGAAGAUGGUCACAUUUUUAAGGGGUUGCAAACUGCUUCAGAAAGCAAGGGCAGGACAGCCUGAGGCUCUGGAAAUAUGCUGGUGACACCUGAAAGAAAUAGUAAUCUCAACUUCACUUAUCCAUAUGUAAGAACAGCAGUACCCUUGCUUCAUCAGUAGCUGAAUAUUAAUUGCUAGAAUCACGGCAAAUUCCCAGAAUAUAAAAGUUUUUUUCUUACUGCCUUGUACAGUUCAUUUCAUAGCUUCCAGUGUUUGAAGUGGAUGACUUGUUUCUAAUGAAUCAAGGCGAACGCUGUCAGACCUCCUAAUGAUUGUUUCUAUCUACUAUACCAUAAAAAAUGUAUGUAUGUAUCCUUCUUGGUUUACUGCCAGUCAAUCAAUGUUAAAACAUUGACAUAUGGGUGUGGGAUUUUUUGCUGUCUUUAAAAUAAGAUCAAUGACAUUAAGGUUUGUCGUGUAAAUAGUAGAAAUAAAGCAAAAAAAAAGAGCUAUUUAUGGUUUUAGGAUGACAUCUGUAAUGUGGGUGGCAGUAGAAUGAAAAGUAGAGAAUUUCAAAGCUCUUCAUAGUUGAAUGAAUUGACUGAGCAUAUAUUUUUAGUGGUUUAAAAAGUGUUAGUUACCCAAAGUUCAUGCAUACAAACAAAAUAAAUCUAUGAACUGAAGAUAAAAUAAAUCUAUGAAAUGGCUGCA